AGCUUGCUGGGUGGAUUAGUGGCGAACGGGUGAGUAACACGUGAGUAACCUGCCCUUAACUCUGGGAUAAGCCUGGGAAACUGGGUCUAAUACCGGAUAGGAGCGUCCACCGCAUGGUGGGUGUUGGAAAGAUUUAUCGGUUUUGGAUGGACUCGCGGCCUAUCAGCUUGUUGGUGAGGUAAUGGCUCACCAAGGCGACGACGGGUAGCCGGCCUGAGAGGGUGACCGGCCACACUGGGACUGAGACACGGCCCAGACUCCUACGGGAGGCAGCAGUGGGGAAUAUUGCACAAUGGGCGAAAGCCUGAUGCAGCGACGCCGCGUGAGGGAUGACGGCCUUCGGGUUGUAAACCUCUUUCAGUAGGGAAGAAGCGAAAGUGACGGUACCUACAGAAGAAGCACCGGCUAACUACGUGCCAGCAGCCGCGGUAAUACGUAGGGUGCGAGCGUUAUCCGGAAUUAUUGGGCGUAAAGAGCUCGUAGGCGGUUUGUCGCGUCUGUCGUGAAAGUCCGGGGCUUAACCCCGGAUCUGCGGUGGGUACGGGCAGACUAGAGUGCAGUAGGGGAGACUGGAAUUCCUGGUGUAGCGGUGGAAUGCGCAGAUAUCAGGAGGAACACCGAUGGCGAAGGCAGGUCUCUGGGCUGUAACUGACGCUGAGGAGCGAAAGCAUGGGGAGCGAACAGGAUUAGAUACCCUGGUAGUCCAUGCCGUAAACGUUGGGCACUAGGUGUGGGGACCAUUCCACGGUUUCCGCGCCGCAGCUAACGCAUUAAGUGCCCCGCCUGGGGGAGUACGGGCCGCAAGGCUAAAACUCAAAAGGAAUUGACGGGGGGCCCGCACAAA
rnacentral:rRNA from 1 species